rnacentral:rRNA from 1 species
UACGGAGGGUGCAAACGUUAUCCGGAAUCACUGGGUUUAAAGGGUGCUUAGGCGGCUGUAUAAGUCAGAGGUGAAAGCCCGGAGCUUAACUUCGGAACUGCCUUUGAUACUGUAUAGCUUGAAAUAGGUUGAGGUCAGCGGAAUGUGGCAUGUAGCGGUGAAAUGCAUAGAUAUGCCAUAGAACACCAAUUGCGAAGGCAGCUGGCAGGACCUUAUUUGACGAUGAAGAUAGAAAGAGUGGGGAGCGAACAGG